CCUACGGGAGGCUGCAGUGAGGAAUAUUGGUCAAUGGGCGGAAGCCUGAACCAGCCAAGUAGCGUGCGGGAUGAAGGCCCUACGGGUCGUAAACCGCUUUUGCACGGGGAUAACACCCUCCACUUGUGGCGGUCUGCAGGUACCGUGCGAAUAAGGGCCGGCAAAUUCCGGGCCAGCAGCCGCGGUAAAACGGGAGGCCCGAGGGUUAUCCGGAUUCAUUGGGCUUAAAGGGAGCGUAGGGGGGCGUUCAAGUCAGCGGUAAAAUCGCGCGGCUCAACCGCGCCCCGCAGUUGAAACUGGACGCCUUGAGUUCACAACAGGCAGGCGGAAUUCGUGGUGUAGCGGUGAAAUGCAUAGAUAUCACGAGGAACCCCGAUUGCGAAGGCAGCCUGCCGGGGUGCGACUGACGCUGAGGCUCGAAGGUGCGGGUAUCAAACAGGAUUAGAUACCCUAGUAGUC
rnacentral:rRNA from 1 species